GGCGUUGAAACCAAUGCAAUGCCAAGUCUUUCGAUGUUGCUUUGUUUGCAUGUAUACAUUGGAGAUGUUGGCAUUGAAUUGGCUCCAAUGCCA